rnacentral:rRNA from 1 species
GGGUAACGGCCCACCAAACCGACGAUGGAUAGGGGUUCUGAGAGGAAGGUCCCCCACAUUGGUACUGAGACACGGACCAAACUCCUACGGGAGGCAGCAGUGAGGAAUAUUGGUCAAUGGCCGAGAGGCUGAACCAGCCAAGUCGCGUGAAGGAAGAAGGAUCUAUGGUUUGUAAACUUCUUUUAUAGGGGAAUAAAGUGGAGGACGUGUCCUUUUUUGUAUGUACCCUAUGAAUAAGCAUCGGCUAACUCCGUGCCAGCAGCCGCGGUAAUACGGAGGAUGCGAGCGUUAUCCGGAUUUAUUGGGUUUAAAGGGUGCGUAGGUGGUGAUUUAAGUCAGCGGUGAAAGUUUGUGGCUCAACCAUAAAAUUGCCGUUGAAACUGGGUUACUUGAGUGUGUUUGAGGUAGGCGGAAUGCGUGGUGUAGCGGUGAAAUGCAUAGAUAUCACGCAGAACUCCGAUUGCGAAGGCAGCUUACUAAACCAUAACUGACACUGAAGCACGAAAGCGUGGGGAUCAAACAGGAUUAGAUACCCUGGUAGUCCACGCAGUAAACGAUGAUUACUAGGAGUUUGCGAUACAAUGUAAGCUCUACAGCGAAAGCGUUAAGUAAUCCACCUGGGG